GACCUCAGAUCAGGCAGGAUUACCCGCUGAACUUAAGCAUAUCAAUAAGCGGAGGAAAAGAAACUAACAAGGAUUCCCCUAGUAGCGGCGAGCGAAGCGGGAAGAGCUCAAAUUUAUAAUCUGGCACCUUCGGUGUCCGAGUUGUAAUCUCUAGAAGUGUUUUCCGCGUUGGACCGCACACAAGUCUGUUGGAAUACAGCGGCACAGUGGUGAUACCCCCGUACACGGUGCGGACGCCCAGCGCUUUGUGAUACACUUUCAAUGAGUCGAGUUGUUUGGGAAUGCAGCUCAAAUUGGGUGGUAAAUUCCAUCUAAAGCUAAAUAUUGGCGAGAGACCGAUAGCGAACAAGUACCGUGAGGGAAAGAUGAAAAGCACUUUGGAAAGAGAGUUAACAGUACGUGAAAUUGUUGGAAGGGAAACGCUUGAAGUCAGACUUGCUGUUCGGAGUUCAGCCGCAAGGUGUACUCUCCGAGUUGCAGGCCAGCAUCAGUUUUUCGGGGUGGAAAAUCACGGUUUGAAGGUAGCAGUUUCGGCUGUGUUAUAGCUUUCCGUUGGAUACAUCCUGGGGGACUGAGGAACGCAGUGUGCUUUUAGCGGAGGUUUCGACCUCUUCACACUUAGGAUGCUGGUGGAAUGGCUUUAAACGACCCGUCUUGUAACACGGACCAAGGAGUCUAACAUGCUUGCGAGUAUUUGGGUGUCAAACCCGGAUGCGUAAUGAAAGUGAAUGGAGGUGGGAAGCGCAAGCUGCACCAUCGACCGAUCUGGAUUUUUUAAGAUGGAUUUGAGUAAGAGCACGUAUGUUGGGACCCGAAAGAUGGUGAACUAUGCCUGAAUAGGGCGAAGCCAGAGGAAACUCUGGUGGAGGCUCGUAGCGGUUCUGACGUGCAAAUCGAUCGUCAAAUUUGGGUAUAGGGGCGAAAGACUAAUCGAACCAUCUAGUAGCUGGUUCCUGCCGAAGUUUCCCUCAGGAUAGCAGAAA
rnacentral:rRNA from 1 species